CCUACGGGGAGCAGCAGUGGGGAAUAUUGGGCAAUGGGCGCAAGCCUGACCCAGCAACGCCGCGUGAAGGAAGAAGGCUUUCGGGUUGUAAACUUCUUUUGACAGGGAAGAGUAGAAGACGGUACCUGUCGAAUAAGCCACGGCUAACUACGUGCCAGCAGCCGCGGUAAUACGUAGGUGGCAAGCGUUGUCCGGAUUUACUGGGUGUAAAGGGCGUGUAGCCGGGUUGACAAGUCAAAUGUGAAAUCCUGCGGCUUAACCGCAGAACUGCAUUUGAAACUGUUGAUCGUGAGUACUGGAGAGGCAGACGGAAGUCCUGGUGUAGCGGUGAAAUGCGUAGAUAUUAGGAGGAACACCAGUGGCGAAGGCAGUCUGCUGGACAGCAACUGACGGUGAGGCGCGAAAGCGUGGGGAGCAAACAGGAUUAGAUACCCGAGUAGUC
rnacentral:rRNA from 1 species